GACGAAGGAUGCAAGCGUUAUCCGGAUUCAUUGGGUUUGAAGGGAGCGUAGGCGGACUUGUAAGUCAGUGGUGAAAUCUGUGGGCUUAACCCACAAACUGCCAUUGAUACUGCAAGUCUUGAGUACAGUUGCCGUUGGCGGAAUAUGACAUGUAGUGGUGAAAUACUUAGAUAUGUCAUAGAACACCGAUUGCGAAGGCAGCUAACGAAGCUGUAACUGACGCUGAGGCUCGAAAGUGCGGGGAGCAAACAGG
rnacentral:rRNA from 1 species